UUUCCGUAGGUGAACCUGCGGAAGGAUCAUUACAGAGUUCAUGCCCUCACGGGUAGAUCUCCCACCCUUGAAUAUUUAUACCUUAGUUGCUUUGGCAGGCCGUGGAAACACCAUGGGCUCCGGCUUAUGCGUGCCUGCCAGAGGAAACAAACUCUGUUUUUAGUGAUGUCUGAGUACUAUAUAAUAGUUAAAACUUUCAACAACGGAUCUCUUGGUUCUGGCAUAGAUGAAGAACGGCAGC
rnacentral:misc_RNA from 1 species